AUAUUGUGCGAUUUUCUGCCUUGAUAUUCUGGGAUAUGGGGCUGUGUGGAAGGGCCCUGAGAUGGCCUCUCUCUUUUGGAGAGAAAAAUAAUAAUAAAAAGAAGCAGUAUUCUGCCAAAUUGAGAGGGCUCGACUCUUUUGCAAGAUAGGAAAGGAAGGAAAUGUAAGAUUAGCAGCACUGAAACAGAACAAACAAAGCAAGCAGCCGGUAGAAAACGCAAAUUUGUGACGAAUUGGGGGGGGGGGGGAAUGGGAGGAGGAGAAGAAAAGGAAGAAAGAAAAAAAUGGGGAAAAGAAAGAAACCUCCGAAAAUGGAAAGCUGACCCUGAAAAUAGUAAAGAAAAAGUGGGGAGAGGGGAAACAAAGCGAGUUGGUUGAUCUUUAAAGUUAGAGCCCUGUAGGAUUUGCAGGAAUUGAGAGAAAGAGCAACAUAAAGGGAAUAAUAAUUCAGAGCUGUCACAGUUAUGCUUCUGAAGGCUCUUGUAAGGCUGAGGAUCUCACGGGGCCACAGAGAACCUAUUGACCACCCUCCCAGCUGCUCUUUCUCUCCCCCAUCGUGGGCUGUGGGCUAUUUUGUGCGUGUCGGGUGCUUUGUUUUGGGGGGUAUUUCCCCCCUCUCUCUUUCCUGUUGUAGCCCAACGCAGGAUCCUUUUCUCCGAGAUUUAAAUUUCGCGGAUGAAUUACCCGAAGCGGGUUGCUUAGCAACGGGAUUGAAGCAGGGCUAAGAAUAUGCAAGGCUCUCUCUCUCUCUUUUUGUAUUCUCAUUAAUAAAAGAGCCACUCUGACACAGCAACCUGACUUUGGAUCGCUGCAACUUCUGUAAAAGCCAUUGGAGAAUUACAAGGCGGCCUUGGCAUUUAAUUACAGAUCGGGAUGGCUGGCAAGGGGAGGCUCUCGGCGUGUGUACGUGCGAGGGAGAAAGGGUUUGCUUUGGGAAGCUGUGUUUGCGCUUGAGGUGGCCUGCCCAGGCGGCCCUGGCCCACUUUCCUCGGAGUCAGUCCGGCUCAACUCCUGGGGACUCACUGCUGAGGAAACGCACCUCAGGGGUGGCUCAGCUGCGUUGGGUUGCUGUGACUUUUCCGGCUGUAUGGCCAUGCUCCACGUUUCACCCACAUCUAGGGCAGGCAUCCUCAGAGGUUGUGAGGUCUGUUGGAAACUAGGCAUGUGGGCUUUAUAUAUCUGUGGAAGGUCCAGAGCUGGAGAAAGAGCGCUUGUCUACCUGAGGCAAACGUGAAUGUUGCAAUUGGCCAGCUCAACGGCGUUUGUUGAAUGGAUUUAGUUCUUGGUGGCUUCGAUAAACGGCAUGUAAACUUUUAUUUUAAUGGGCAAAUAUUCUGGACCCAGUUCUUGAGCUCACUCUCGCCUCAUUUCUCUUUCCUUACCUGCAGAAAACUGAAUAAUUUCGGGAACAACGAUUCCAAACAUACGGAUGAAGCGAAAGUCGUUCCCACUUUUGAGAUCACCGUUUGAGGCCCCAUCUACACUGCCAUAUAAUGCAGUUUAACUCCACGGGAGUCAUCAAAAUGUGAUCUCACUCUGCUACCCAAGAUUUAGAAAGGAAACCUAAGUUCCAGGGGUCUCCAUAAGUCGACAGGAGACUGGGAGGAAGAGACACACACGGUGCUGCCUAUUUGCUUCUAGAAGUCCUCCCAAUGUUUUCUUCCGGGCUUUUCUUCCAAUAGAGCUGAGCUUUAGUUUUCCCUUUCCAUGUAUAUCGCAUUUACCCCGGAAAUAAGACAUACCCAUAGUACCCAUAGCUACAAGCUGAGGCAUAGAGCGAGACAUUGAAAGUGGAAGUAAAAGUUUCCUCAGUGAAGUGAGGAGCAGGAAGCUCUGCUUUAGUUAUUGAGUGUCCUCAGGGAGAAGAAGUAAAGCUGUGGGUCUCUUUCUCUCCCCAGCACCAACCAGCUGGUGGCUCUCUCUCACCCCACACAAACACCAGUAAAGCCGCUGCUCCCCAGGACUGAUCAGCAACAGUCUGUAGGUCUCUCUCCCCCCCCCCCCCCCCACAAGCAUCAGGGGAUAGGGGAAACCGUCUGCAAGCAGUCUGCUACUGAGUCUAGGGAGAUCAUCCCAUACAUGCAGAUUAUUGUACCAUACUUAAUCAAAAUAAUACAUCCUUUGAAAUAUAAGACAUAGUGUGCCUUCUUGAGGAAAAAUAAAUAUAAGACAGUGUCUUGUUUUGGGGGAAACUUGGUAUAUGUGUCACCUGUCGACUUAUGGUGAACCCAGGUAUAUUAUAUAAGGGUUUCUUAGGCAAGGAGUACUCAAGUUUAGCCGAUUCCUUUGAAAGACAGCUUACACCGCAGGGAAUGUAUUGAAGGUCUCCCAUCCAAAUAGUAACCAGGGCUGAACCUCCUUAGCUUCCAAUAUCAGAUAGGAUAUGGUGCUUUUAGGCUAUUUGGCCCUAUCGCAUUUAUAUUGUUGCUGCUAUUGUUGUUGUUGUUGUUAUUAUUAUUAUUAUUAUUAUUAUUAUUAUUAUUAUUAUCUGAUCUGCCUUUUAGACGUAUAACUCUCCGCUAAAUGUGCAGACCCUACAGAAGAAACAAGUUAGCCGCAGAGUCCGGCAAAGAGCUUGGAUAUUUCCACAGGUAAAUUAAUCUGUGUCUAGCUCAGUCUGUGUUGUUUUAUAACGGCUUAUAACGGUUUCGUAUGACGAAGGUAUCAACUUAUACAGGUUAAAGGGAGAUAAACAAUAGGCCACAACGUAGACUUUCUCCGUGUCUUGAUUCCAUUGAAAAAGAGGAAAGUUGAUCAAUGUCAGCACUUGUGAGAUUAAGGGGGAUGUAUAAAAUCCGAGAGUGAGAGGAAACAUAAUUUUGUUGGAAGGGGAGAUGGUUGAUUUAGGAGAAAACAUCUUUCAUGUGUAGGAAAUUCGGAGGCGCUCUCUUUCAAUACUUUCUACUUCUACUCCUUUUUAAGACAGCAGGAUGACUCCAGUGCAAUCCCAAACAAGAGGGCCAGUAGCCUAGAAGAACCCUCUCUUAAAUUCUAUUGGGUUGCUAUAAGUUUUUCGGGCUGUAUGGCCAUGUUCCAGAAGCAUUCCCUCCUGACGUUUCUCUUGCAUCUAUGGCAGGCAUCCUCAGAGAUUGUGAGGUAUGUUGGAAACUAGUCAAGUGGGAUUUAUAUAUCUGUGGAAUGUUUCCGGGUGGAAGAAAGCCUUCAACAACACAUUAAAUUCCAUUGCUUGGAGUAAGUCUUGGUUUUGGAAAUCAGUCAAUGUUUUAGAAGUGAGGUGGAAACCAACGAUAGUAUUCCUCUUUGCUGAUCCCAGUAACCGAGGGCUGAAAUGUGAAAUCUCAAGUUGACGGGAACUGACCGCGCCUAAGAAAAGGGAUUCCAGUCAAUGAAUUCAAGUGAAAUCAUUGAACCCAAGGGAUUCAUUAGCUGAGAUUGUUGGGAUGGAAAUCCAGCUCUUCUUAUGCAUGCUUGUUUCCUGCUUUCAAGACAUUUGUUCAGGUUUGCCCUUGAGUCCCACUGAGGCUGAGAGGGUGUGACUUGCUCAGGGUCACUUAGGCCCCUUCUACACUGCCAUAUAAUCCAGAUUAUCAAAACAGAAUAAUCCACAUUAUCUGUUUUGAACUGAAAAAUAUGAGUAUACACUGCCAUACAAUCCAGUUCAAAGAAGAUAAUUUGGAUUUUAUAUGGCAGUGUAGGCCCCUUCCACCCAGCUGAAUAAAAUCCCACUUUAUCUGC
rnacentral:lncRNA from 1 species